rnacentral:misc_RNA from 1 species
GACGAUUCGAAACUAGAGUAAGCAUCCGUUAGAGGUCGCAGAACGUCGAACAUUUAUCGUCUGACGUUUAUCUUGUUAGUCACGAAAAUUCUUCUAUUUAAUGCGAAUUCGUAAGAAUAAUGGAAUAUUCAAAAGCAAUGAAAGAAGAAUUGAUCAUCAGCCCUGACUGGGAUUAUGAAUGUGACGACGAAUCCACACAAGAAUUUGAGAUUUCCAAUAGAAACUUUAAAGUUGAAAGUGAAAAAUAUAAUGAUGUUACAAUUGAAGAUAAUGUAAAAAAGAAUGUGGAAACAAUGAAGCCUAAAAGAAAGAUUGUAGUAUCAACAAUUGAAAUGAAGAAAGAACUUAUUGCAAAACAUGAAAGUGGUAUACGUGUGAAGGAUCUAGCAGCUAUGUUCAAGAUGCCGAAGUCAACAGUUUGCACCAUUCUUAAGAACAAGGAUGCAAUAAAAGCGGCAAAUGUGGCUAAAGGUGUGACGACAUUAACCUCCAAGAGAUCACAUAUUAUUGAGGAGAUGGAAAAACGCCUCCUUGUAUGGAUAAAUGAGAAGCAAUCGGCUGGUGAUAUCAUAUCUGUGAGGAUUAUUUGUGAGAAAGCUAAGCAGCUGCAUAAUGACAUUAAGAAACGCACACCUGGAACCAGUGUUGAAAGUGAAGAGUUUAAGGGGAGUAGAGGGUGGUUCAAUAAAUUUAGGAAAAGAUCUGGAAUCCAUGGUGUUGUGAUGCAUGAGGAGAUUGCUAAUGUGGGAGAAGAUGAAAAGUUUGUAAAAAGUUUUAAGCAGUAUGUGGAUAAGCAGGGAUUUGUGCCUCAGCAAGUUUUCAAUUGUGAUAAAACAAACCUCUUCUGGAAGAGACUGCCUGGGAAGGGCUACAUUACAAAAGAAGAGAAGGCUAUACCAGGAUAUAAGCCUAUGAAAGAUAGGCUUUCUCUGCUAAUUUGUGGUAAUGCUAGUGGGGACUGUAAGAUAAAGCCUUUGCUUGUGUAUCAUUCUGACAAUCCAUGUGUAUUUAAAAAGAAUAAUAUAACAAAGAGUAGGCUUAAUGUUAUGUGGAGGGCAAACAUGUCAGCAUGGGUUACCUGGCAGUUUUUUACUGAGUGGAUUCAUGAAGAGUUUGCACCUUGCGUGAAAGCUUAUCUUACCAAAAAGAAUCUACCACUGAAGGCUCUUCUAGUGCUGGAUGACGUUCCUGCUCAUCCUUUAGGCUUACAGGAAGAUUUGGUGGGUAAAUUUAGCUUUAUCAAGAUAAUGUUCUUGCCCACCAAUACCACUUCUCUCUUCCAACCCAUGGACCAAGUCAUCUCAAAUUUUAAGAAACUAUAUAUAAAGGCUGUGUUUCAGAUGUGCUUUGAGGUGAUCAAUGAGACAGAACUUACUCUUAGAGAUUUUUGGAAGAAUCAUUACAAUAUCCUUCAUUGCUUACAAAAUAUCAAUAAAGCAUGGAAGGAAGUUUCUCUCAGGACAAUGAACUCUGCUUGGAAGAAACUCUGGCCAGAUUGUAUUUCAGCCAGAAACUUUGAAGACUUUGAACCAGUGUCUGUGGUAUAUGAAAUUGUGUGUCUGGGAAAGUCCAUGGGUUUGGAGGUAAGUGAAGAUGAUGUGGAGGAGUUAGUGGAUGAUCACAAGACCAAACUAACCAUAGAAGAAAUGGCAGAGGAAAUUUAUUCAAAUGAGGAAGAGGAAGCUGAGAACAGCAUUUCCAGCACUGAAAUUAAGGAACUGUGCUCUCUUUGGGCUAGAAUGCGGACCAUUGUUGAAAAAUGGCACCCUAACAUAGCAGCAGUGAAUAGGAGCAUUGACUUCUUUGAUGACAAAGUAAUGGCCUACUUUAGGAACAUCCAGAAAAGUCGUCAACACCAAACUGCAUUGGAAAGGUUCUUCUCUAAAGAAAACUGGGAAAGCAAACCAAAUCCCUCAACCAGUAAAACUAAGAGGCUGAAGAGUGAGAAAACACCAGAAGAACAAUUAUUUGGUGUGUUUAUGGAAACUGACUCCUCUUCCAACAAUUAACCUUUCACAUCCUCUCCACCAGCCACAUUGGACAUCAUAACAACUCACUAAGGGCAUUUAAUUGUGUUAAGAUUCAAUUCAGAGUUCAACACAGAGGGCAAUUCAGAAUUCAGAUGAUCUCCCGAAACAAAUGAAAUUCA